rnacentral:rRNA from 1 species
GAUGAACGCUGGCGGCGUGCCUAAUACAUGCAAGUCGAGCGAACAGACGAGGAGCUUGCUCCUUCGACGUUAGCGGCGGACGGGUGAGUAACACGUAGGUAACCUACCUAUAAGACUGGGAUAACUUCGGGAAACCGGAGCUAAUACCGGAUAAUAUUUCGAACCGCAUGGUUCGAUAGUGAAAGAUGGCUUUGCUAUCACUUAUAGAUGGACCUGCGCCGUAUUAGCUAGUUGGUAAGGUAACGGCUUACCAAGGCAACGAUACGUAGCCGACCUGAGAGGGUGAUCGGCCACACUGGAACUGAGACACGGUCCAGACUCCUACGGGAGGCAGCAGUAGGGAAUCUUCCGCAAUGGGCGAAAGCCUGACGGAGCAACGCCGCGUGAGUGAUCAAGGUCUUCGGAUCGUAAAACUCUGUUAUUAGGGAAGAACAAACGUGUAAGUAACUGUGCACGUCUUGACGGUACCUAAUCAGAAAGCCACGGCUAACUACGUG